rnacentral:rRNA from 1 species
AUGAACGUUGGCGGCGUGGAUUAGGCAUGCAAGUCGAACGUGUACCCCGCAAGGGGGGAAAGUGGCGAAAGGGAGAGGAACACGUGGAUACCUACCCUCGGGUCUUGGAUAGCCGCGGGAAAACUGCGGGUAAUACGAGAUAAUGUCUCCGGACCAAAGGUGUGAUUCCGUCCGAGGGACGGGUCCGCGUCCUAUUAGCUAGUUGGCGGGGUAAUGGCCCACCAAGGCGAUGAUGGGUACGAGGCAUGAGAGUGUGGCCCCUCGCUCACUGGGACUGAGAUACUGCCCAGACACCUACGGGUGGCUGCAGUCGAGAAUCUUCCGCAAUAGGCGCAAGCCUGACGGAGCGACGCCGCGUGUGGGAUGAAGGCCUUCGGGUUGUAAAACCACUGUCGUAGAGGAGGAACGGCCAUAGGGUUCUCUCUAUGGUUUGACCUAUUCUAGGAGGAAGGAUGGGCUAAGUCCGUGCCAGCAGCCGCGGUAAGACGGACCAUCCAAACGUUAUUCGGAAUUACUGGGCUUAAAGGGUGCGUAGGCGGCGCGGAAAGUUCGGUGUGAAAUCCCUCGGCUUAACCGAGGAAUGGCGCUGAAAACUACCGUGCUCGAGGAAGACAGAGGUAAGCGGAAACAGCGGGUGGAGCGGUGAAAUGCGUUGAUAUCCGCUGGAACACCGGUGGCGAAAGCGGCUUACUGGGUCUUUUUCUGACGCUGAGGCACGAAAGCUAGGGUAGCGAACGGGAUUAGAUACCCCGGUAGUCCUAGCCGUAAACGAUGAGCACUUGACGGGAGACUCCUCCAUAGGUUUCCGGUCGUAGCGAAAGUGAUAAGUGCUCCGCCUGGGGAGUAUGGCCGCAAGGCUGAAACUCAAAGGAAUUGACGGGGGCUCACACAAGCGGUGGAGGAUGUGGCUUAAUUCGAGGCUACGCGAAAAAACCUUAUCCUAGUCUUGACAUGCAUGGAUUAACCCGGUGAAAGCCGGGCCACGCCCGCAAGGGUGGAACUUGCACAGGUGCUGCAUGGCUGUCGUCAGCUCGUGUCGUGAGAUGUCGCGUUAAGUCGCUUAACGAGCGAAACCCUUGUCUCUAGUUGCCAGCGAGUCAUGUCGGGGACUCUAGAGAGACUGCCGGCGUUAAGCCGGAGGAAGGUGGGGAUGACGCCAAGUCCUCAUGGCCUUUAUGACUAGGGCUGCACACGUCCUACAAUGGCGCGUACAAAGGGAUGCCAACUCGUAAGAGGGAGCAAAUCCCAAAAAAACGCGCCUCAGUUCGGAUUGCGGGCUGCAACCCGCCCGCCAUGAAGCUGGAAUCGCUAGUAAUCGCGGAUCAGCAUGCCGCGGUGAAUGUGUUCCUGAGCCUUGUACACACCGCCCGUCAAGCCACGAAAGUGGGGGGCAUCCGAAGUCGCCGAGCCAACCCGCAAGGGAAGCAGGCGCCGAAGGUGAACUCCGCGAUUGGGACU